GGACCACGCCCUUCCUCUACCCACACUUCCCUUCCCCACUUCCGUAUCGUUUAAAGGGACCAUGCUCUUCCCUUCCCAGCACUUCCGUAUCAUUUCCUCUCUCUGAAGAGGUACAUCUAACUGCUGUUAGAAUAUGGACAAUGACCAGUUUUAGCUGCUUCCUACUGUCAGGGGUCAUUGUUUUGGAGGAAAACAGCAGUCAGACUCCUCCCAGAAGUGUUCCUAGCAAAGGGCAUUGUCAACCACGGAUUAGGUGCUGA
rnacentral:lncRNA from 13 species